UAUUGGCCCAAAGAUGUUUGAUCAAAAAAUAUUUACUUCUCCAUCAAAAUACAGAAUUCUCAUAAGAGAUUUUCUUCUCGAGAAUCAGUACACUAAAAAUAAGGAUCCAAAUCACAUACAGAGCUUUCGUGAAGAUUUUGUUCAUAGACUUUCUCAUCAGCUUCUGCAAAUUAUUCUAUAUUAAUUACUCAAGUUGCUUGUAAUAUUCUCGUCGCUCUUUUCAUUUUUCUUACAAUGCUCAGAUAUGUUGUGUAAUGGUCUUCUAGAAUUGGAAAGACGAUGACUACUUUUGCUGUGCCAUCAGUUUUUCAGGUAUGUUAAUGUCUUAUAUGGAUUUUACUUAAGCUUUCUCUAGUUUAUGUUAAUUUCUUUUAGAUAUUUAUAGUCUGGUAAAUUGAUUAAGGAUUCUAUAGAUCUUAUUCUUGAAAACCAAUUUCUGUUUUAAUAGAAAAAGUACUUUUUGAUGUCAAUCCCAUUAAGAAAAUUUGUAUUUGGUGAAAUUUAAUAUGAAAUAAGUCGCUAAAAAUCUGAAAAUCCUAUCCAGCUACCCAAUGACCUAUAAUGCUACUCGCCAUCAAAUCAGGGCUAAGAGUUUCUGUCUGAAAACGUUUCAAGCUAAUCAAGAAAAGUAAUUUUGUUAUCUUUUUAAAAGCGUGUUAUCGUGCAUACCAUUCUUAACAUCCCCUGAAGGUUGCGCAUCAUUAUUUCCCAUCUUAUCGAUGAUCUCAAAUUCUCAACGGGCACUUCUACUAAACUCUAAUUCAUAUAAUUGGUAAUCAUGAAGUUGAAGGGAAAAACUUGUUUUGCAAAUCCCAUAUUACCAACACUAGAGUACAUAGAGAUUAAAGAGCUAUAAAUAUGGGUAUUUGGUUCUAUUCCCUUCUUAAUUGUUUGUGUAUAUACUUGUCUACCUUCAAGCACAGAUUUCAACUUGAAACAAGCUUCGGGAACAAAAGUAUAUGUAUGACUAUCCUGUAAUACUUCAUGUGUUACUAAUCCUUCAUAGAGAAACAACGACUCCAUAGGGCGUUGGAUAAAAAUCAUUCCUCUGAUCAUAAUAUUAUAUAAAAAUGUAUUAGGUGAUUGAAUUGAUGAAUUGAAGACUAAGAAUGUCAUUCUUCCUAAUCCCUAUUCUUAAAUGCACAGAAUUCUUCUCCAAUUCGUCAACUAAUGUGACUAAUUCAAGAGAUGAGCACUUCCUUCUUUGUACAUUCUAAUUGGCAUAGUUUUGCAGUAAUCUACAUGCUUUGUUUAGCGAUAAUGCAUAUGUUUCAGACCUUAUCUCUGACAUAGAUCGAAGUAGGAAAGUUACAUGUUUUUAGGGAGGAGAGACUAAGUUCAUGGAUUACCUGAAAGGAUGAAAGGGAACAACUCUUACAAGGUUUGUAAUGGCUUGAUUGAUUUACAUUUCAUCUCAAAAUUGAAGCCUAAUUCUUCUUUUCUUGUUUUGUUUUUCCAUUUGGUCUCUUUGGAAAAUACUAGAGUUGGGGUUUAAUAAGUCAUUUUUCAAUCUAGAGUUGAAGUCAGAUUAGUUGCACCAAACAACAAUAAGUCUAAAUAAAUAGACAUUUUAUCUUUGAUUUCUGAUUUUUUUUAUUCAUCUGAAGCAUUUAAUCUAAAUAAGAAAAUCUGUAAUCUUCCUGUAACAUGUUAUGAAGUGUAUGUGAUAGUAUUUUUCAACUGAUAAACGUCUAUCUAUCUAAGCCUAUAAACUAUCUCGUUCAACCUCUUAAGUUGUAACAGUUUUACGAUAAGUUCAAAUGACUAUUUAUUUGAAAGGGGAUGGAAAAAGCUUAAUUAUACAUUGCUUUCGGUUUCCCCUUCUCCUAUUGUGAAAAUAGAUGCUAUUAUUGGAUGGUUGAUGAAAAGCAUCUAGCAAAUGGUAAUCAUCAUGUAACGUGUUGUGGAGUGUAUGUGAUAGUAUUUAAACUAAAAAAGGAAAAUUUUCAUGUGGUAACACAUCCAGGAGAGAUGUGAUAGCCAAAUUUUAAAAGCAAAACAUGCUCAGAUGCAUAUCAGAGUAAAGGAAGGUGUGGUGCAUUCUACGUGAUAACUUGUCAUGUUGAAGACAUGGUAUCUGAAAGAGAAUACUAUUGUUUCUUUAUUUUUUGCUUGCACCUUUGUCUUAAUGCUUCCUACUGUCCUAACUGUGAUCACAAGUUAUAAGUGUAUCUGCAUGUCUGGUAGUCCAUUCAUCUAUGAGUCACAAGUUAUAAGAAUAUCUACCCUUGAGUGAUUCAUUUUUAAGAUUUUGUUAUAUAUAUUUCUUCUUGCAUUGUUUAUAGGCAUCUCUUCUUUCUUCAUCAAUGUGAAACAACCUCUGAUUGUCCGGCACAUUGAAACCAUCCUUUUGCAUGUUAUGUUUUCUGAAUUUUGUUUAUUUUUUAAGUUACUUAUUCUGUUUUAAUUGGUUUCUACCUCAGAUCUUGAGUGCAUUUUUACUGUAAUUUGCAACCUUGUCAAGAAAACUGAGAGUUCAGACCAAGUACACAAGAUGGCAGAGCUCAUAUCCAUUACACUCUCCCAACAACCAAGUGAUAAGCUUGCUUUUCACUUAAAAAAUGUAUCAUGUCUUGAAAUUAAUAACUUCAAUUGCUAGAGUAUUUUUUUCUGGUGUCACAGCGCACUUUCUUCUUCCUCUUAUUUCAGAUUGGUCAAUCUCUACAACCUGUUGGAUAAUCCUUAUAGCCGUUUCUUUGUGUAGAUGAAGGCCCUUAAUAUGGCCAUGAAUGAAAAAGUCGUUGAACAUAUCUAUCCAUCUUUCAAAAAAAUAGAUAGCUUUUUAAAAGAGUGGAAUCUUGGAGUUGAAGAUCAGAGAGGGAUGUUUCUUAAGAUCUCAAUCAUUUUGAAGGAAACCAAGGGGACUUCUCCAUGAAGAUUGUCUCGUCUGAUAAGCUCAACCUUGUGCCAUUUGAGCAUGCUGAUAUACGUAACCUUUACGAGAUGAGGGGAGAACAUGGACGUUGAGCUUGCUGGAAGCCAAGUAUCAUAAGUCAAAUAGCUAGCUGGAGUAUUAAAGUCAUUUUCAAAUAAGGCUAUCUGUGGCAUUUCGAGCUCCCCUUCGUGUGGAAGCCACAGUCAAAUAACUUUUUGCAUCUAUCCUAUUUUGUUAUUAUAUUUUCUUUGUUUUCACUUCUUAAAACUCUUGUUUUAAUCUAUUGUUAAUUUUUUUUGCAAUACUAGAUGAUCUAU